AAGUCGUAACAAGGUUUCCGUAGGUGAACCUGCGGAAGGAUCAUUACCUAGAGUUGUAGGCUUUGCCUGCUAUCUCUUACCCAUGUCUUUUAAGUACCUUCGUUUCCUCGGCGGGUUCGCCCGCCGAUUGGACAAUUUAAACCAUUUGCAGUUGCAAUCAGCGUCUGAAAAAACUUAAUAGUUACAACUUUCAACAACGGAUCUCUUGGUUCUGGCAUCGAUGAAGAACGCAGCGAAAUGCGAUAAGUAGUGUGAAUUGCAGAAUUCAGUGAAUCAUCGAAUCUUUGAACGCACAUUGCGCCCCUUGGUAUUCCAUGGGGCAUGCCUGUUCGAGCGUCAUUUGUACCUUCAAGCUCUGCUUGGUGUUGGGUGUUUGUCUCGCCUCUGCGUGUAGACUCGCCUCAAAACAAUUGGCAGCCGGCGUAUUGAUUUCGGAGCGCAGUACAUCUCGCGCUUUGCACUCAUAACGACGACGUCCAAAAGUACAUUUUUACACUCUUGAUCUCGGAUCAGGUAGGGAUACCCGCUGAACUUAA
rnacentral:rRNA from 1 species